UACGUAGGUGGCAAGCGUUAUCCGGAUUUACUGGGUGUAAAGGGAGCGUAGACGGCGAUGCAAGUCUGAAGUGAAAGGCGGGGGCCCAACCCCCGGACUGCUUUGGAAACUGUAUGGCUGGAGUGCAGGAGAGGUAAGUGGAAUUCCUAGUGUAGCGGUGAAAUGCGUAGAUAUUAGGAGGAACACCAGUGGCGAAGGCGGCUUACUGGACUGUAACUGACGUUGAGGCUCGAAAGCGUGGGGAGCAAACAGG
rnacentral:rRNA from 1 species